GAUGAACGCUGGCGGCGUGCCUAAUACAUGCAAGUCGAGCGAACGGACGAGAAGCUUGCUUUUCUGAUGUUAGCGGCGGACGGGUGAGUAACACGUGGAUAACCUACCUAUAAGACUGGGAUAACUUCGGGAAACCGGAGCUAAUACCGGAUAAUAUUUUGAACCGCAUGGUUCAAAAGUGAAAGACGGUCUUGCUGUCACUUAUAGAUGGAUCCGCGCUGCAUUAGCUAGUUGGUAAGGUAACGGCUUACCAAGGCAACGAUGCAUAGCCGACCUGAGAGGGUGAUCGGCCACACUGGAACUGAGACACGGUCCAGACUCCUACGGGAGGCAGCAGUAGGGAAUCUUCCGCAAUGGGCGAAAGCCUGACGGAGCAACGCCGCGUGAGUGGUGAAGGUCUUCGGAUCGUAAAACUCUGUUAUUAGGGAAGAACAUAUGUGUAAGUAACUGUGCACAGCUUGACGGUACCUAAUCAGAAAGCCACGGCUAACUACGUG
rnacentral:rRNA from 1 species